AACGUAGGUGGCGAGCGUUAUCCGGAUUUACUGGGCGUAAAGGGUGUGCAGGCUGCCCCUCAAGUGGUGUAUGAAAGCCCCGGGCUCAACCCUGGGAUGCCGGUCGAUACUGCCGGACUAGAGUUCGGAAGAGGCGAGUGGAAUUCCCGGUGUAGCGGUGAAAUGCGCAGAUAUCGGGAGGAACACCAAUGGCGAAGGCAGCUCGCUGGGACGUUACUGACGCUGAGACGCGAAAGCGUGGGGAGCAAACAGGG
rnacentral:rRNA from 1 species